AGUGAACGCUGGCGGUAGGCCUAACACAUGCAAGUCGAACGGCAGCACAGUAAUAGCUUGCUCUUACGGGUGGCGAGUGGCGGACGGGUGAGGAAUACAUCGGAAUCUACUUUUUCGUGGGGGAUAACGUAGGGAAACUUACGCUAAUACCGCAUACGACCUACGGGUGAAAGCAGGGGAUCUUCGGACCUUGCGCGAUUGAAUGAGCCGAUGUCGGAUUAGCUAGUUGGCGGGGUAAAGGCCCACCAAGGCGACGAUCCGUAGCUGGUCUGAGAGGAUGAUCAGCCACACUGGAACUGAGACACGGUCCAGACUCCUACGGGAGGCAGCAGUGGGGAAUAUUGGACAAUGGGCGCAAGCCUGAUCCAGCAAUACCGCGUGGGUGAAGAAGGCCUUCGGGUUGUAAAGCCCUUUUGUUGGGAAAGAAAAGCAGCAGGUUAAUACCCCGCUGUUCUGACGGUACCCAAAGAAUAAGCACCGGCUAACUUCGUG
rnacentral:rRNA from 1 species